UAAGGUUCAGAAAAAUAACCAUUGGGUAUAGGCUUAGUACCUGGGUGAUGAAACAAUCUGUUUAACAAACCCUUGUGACAUGAGGUUACCUAUAUAACAAACCUGCCCAUGUACGCCUGAACC